GAACGCUGGCGGCGUGCCUAAUACAUGCAAGUAGAACGCUGAAGGAGGAGCUUGCUUCUCUGGAUGAGUUGCGAACGGGUGAGUAACGCGUAGGUAACCUGCCUAGUAGUGGGGGGUAGCUCGGGGAAACUCGAAUUAAUACCGCAUACGACCUACGGGUGAAAGGGGGCGCAAGCUCUUGCUAUUAGAUGAGCCUAAAUCAGAUUAGCUAGUUGGUGGGGUAAAGGCCCACCAAGGCGACGAUCUGUAACUGGUCUGAGAGGAUGAUCAGUCACACCGGAACUGAGACACGGUCCGGACUCCUACGGGAGGCAGCAGUGGGGAAUAUUGGACAAUGGGGGCAACCCUGAUCCAGCCAUGCCGCGUGUGUGAAGAAGGCCUUUUGGUUGUAAAGCACUUUAAGCAGGGAGGAGAGGCUAAUGGUUAAUACCCAUUAGAUUAGACGUUACCUGCAGAAUAAGCACCGGCUAACUCUGUGCCAGCAGCCGCGGUAAUACAGAGGGUGCGAGCGUUAAUCGGAAUUACUGGGCGUAAAGCGAGUGUAGGUGGCUCAUUAAGUCACAUGUGAAAUCCCCGGGCUUAACCUGGGAACUGCAUGUGAUACUGGUGGUGCUAGAAUAUGUGAGAGGGAAGUAGAAUUCCAGGUGUAGCGGUGAAAUGCGUAGAGAUCUGGAGGAAUACCGAUGGCGAAGGCAGCUUCCUGGCAUAAUAUUGACACUGAGAUUCGAAAGCGUGGGUAGCAAACAGGAUUAGAUACCCUGGUAGUCCACGCCGUAAACGAUGUCUACUAGCCGUUGGGGUCCUUGAGACUUUAGUGGCGCAGUUAACGCGAUAAGUAGACCGCCUGGGGAGUACGGCCGCAAGGUUAAAACUCAAAUGAAUUGACGGGGGCCCGCACAAGCGGUGGAGCAUGUGGUUUAAUUCGAUGCAACGCGAAGAACCUUACCUGGUCUUGACAUAGUGAGAAUCCUGCAGAGAUGCGGGAGUGCCUUCGGGAAUUCACAUACAGGUGCUGCAUGGCUGUCGUCAGCUCGUGUCGUGAGAUGUUGGGUUAAGUCCCGCAACGAGCGCAACCCUUUUCCUUAUUUGCCAGCGGGUUAAGCCGGGGACUUUAAGGAUACUGCCAGUGACAAACUGGAGGAAGGCGGGGACGACGUCAAGUCAUCAUGGCCCUUACGACCAGGGCUACACACGUGCUACAAUGGUAGGUACAGAGGGUUGCUACACAGCGAUGUGAUGCUAAUCUCAAAAAGCCUAUCGUAGUCCGGAUUGGAGUCUGCAACUCGACUCCAUGAAGUCGGAAUCGCUAGUAAUCGCAGAUCAGAAUGCUGCGGUGAAUACGUUCCCGGGCCU
rnacentral:rRNA from 1 species